rnacentral:lncRNA from 1 species
AAUAUACAAAAAUUCUAAAGUAUUCAGAGCUACUAAACACAAGCGGAAGCAAGAAAACACGAGUAGGUUGAACAGGUAACCUACUGGCGAAAACUGGCAGAAAUGCGGGUGACUAUGCCUCGUCUCCUACUAGAUCCAACCCGAACUCUGCAGACUGGGCAAUUUAAAACGAAGGGCCCAGGGGAAAACAUUUAAUAACGUUAGAGUGAGUGGACAAAAAUAAAAUAAUAAAUAAAAUAUUUAUGUUUCCCCAAAUUAAUCUAAGGAAAAAUCGAAUGCAUGCCGCAAGCGAUAAAACUUUUAUCCCAUAAAAUAUCGAGCCUCUCAGACUCUAUAAUAUAUGUAUGUAUUUACACACGCCCAUACUCCCUAUAUAAAUUCAUGGGUCUAUAUAGGGCUACUACGCUCGCGUCCAACGCUCACGUCACGCCUUAAUGCGGUGCUACACUACGCCAUUAAGAUGGACAGACGGGUGUAUAAAUAUGUGUCCAUACCCCCUAUAUGAAUUAAACACUCAAAUAGGGCUACUACGCUUACGUCCAACGCUCACAUCACACCAUAAUGCGGCUAUAUGCUACGCCAUUAAGGUGGACAGACACAUAUGGCUAGCUAGCAUUUUCUAUACAUACUCUCUCAUAUAUUCAUAUUUAUAUUCACCGAAAAUCCCAUUUUCGGUAACUCUCUCUCAGAGAAAUAAAAGCGUCAAAAUUAAUUGACGUCAAAACUCCAACAAAGGAAAUGUUCAAUCAUGAACCAUAGCAUGCAUAUUAUUUCAAAUAAAAGUCCACUCACAAAUUAGGCCUAAGCCUGCUGUCGAUCUGGGGUCUCGUCUGCUCGAGCCUCCUCACGACCUGUUCCAAAUAUAAUAUUAAUUUCCCAACCAAUAAUCCAAUAUUUAAUCAAAAUAGGCAAAAUUACCCGAGAGUCAUAAUUACGCUCAUCAUUGCCUAACUUCGAUAUUCUUACAUCGGACGAUCCGAACUUAAAUAUCAUACUCCACAGUCGUAAAUAUAACCUCCUCAAAAUACGACUUAAAUCCUACG